UAGAGUUUGAUCAUGGCUCAGAUUGAACGCUGGCGGCAGGCUUAACACAUGCAAGUCGAGCGGAGAUGAGGUGCUUGCACCUUAUCUUAGCGGCGGACGGGUGAGUAAUGCUUAGGAAUCUGCCUAUUAGUGGGGGACAACAUUCCGAAAGGAAUGCUAAUACCGCAUACGCCCUACGGGGGAAAGCAGGGGAUCUUCGGACCUUGCGCUAAUAGAUGAGCCUAAGUCGGAUUAGCUAGUUGGUGGGGUAAAGGCCUACCAAGGCGACGAUCUGUAGCGGGUCUGAGAGGAUGAUCCGCCACACUGGGACUGAGACACGGCCCAGACUCCUACGGGAGGCAGCAGUGGGGAAUAUUGGACAAUGGGCGGAAGCCUGAUCCAGCCAUGCCGCGUGUGUGAAGAAGGCCUUUUGGUUGUAAAGCACUUUAAGCGAGGAGGAGGCUACUUAGAUUAAUACUCUAGGAUAGUGGACGUUACUCGCAGAAUAAGCACCGGCUAACUCUGUGCCAGCAGCCGCGGUAAUACAGAGGGUGCGAGCGUUAAUCGGAUUUACUGGGCGUAAAGCGUGCGUAGGCGGCUGAUUAAGUCGGAUGUGAAAUCCCUGAGCUUAACUUAGGAAUUGCAUUCGAUACUGGUCAGCUAGAGUAUGGGAGAGGAUGGUAGAAUUCCAGGUGUAGCGGUGAAAUGCGUAGAGAUCUGGAGGAAUACCGAUGGCGAAGGCAGCCAUCUGGCCUAAUACUGACGCUGAGGUACGAAAGCAUGGGGAGCAAACAGGAUUAGAUACCCUGGUAGUCCAUGCCGUAAACGAUGUCUACUAGCCGUUGGGGCCUUUGAGGCUUUAGUGGCGCAGCUAACGCGAUAAGUAGACCGCCUGGGGAGUACGGUCGCAAGACUAAAACUCAAAUGAAUUGACGGGGGCCCGCACAAGCGGUGGAGCAUGUGGUUUAAUUCGAUGCAACGCGAAGAACCUUACCUGGCCUUGACAUAGUAAGAACUUUCCAGAGAUGGAUUGGUGCCUUCGGGAACUUACAUACAGGUGCUGCAUGGCUGUCGUCAGCUCGUGUCGUGAGAUGUUGGGUUAAGUCCCGCAACGAGCGCAACCCUUUUCCUUAUUUGCCAGCGAGUAAUGUCGGGAACUUUAAGGAUACUGCCAGUGACAAACUGGAGGAAGGCGGGGACGACGUCAAGUCAUCAUGGCCCUUACGGCCAGGGCUACACACGUGCUACAAUGGUCGGUACAAAGGGUUGCUACCUAGCGAUAGGAUGCUAAUCUCAAAAAGCCGAUCGUAGUCCGGAUUGGAGUCUGCAACUCGACUCCAUGAAGUCGGAAUCGCUAGUAAUCGCGGAUCAGAAUGCCGCGGUGAAUACGUUCCCGGGCCUUGUACACACCGCCCGUCACACCAUGGGAGUUUG
rnacentral:rRNA from 1 species